GAUAGACGCUGGCGGCGUGCCUAACACAUGCAAGUCGAACGCCCUUUUGCGCAAGUGAGAGGGAGUGGCGGACGGGUGAGUAGCACGUGGGUACCUACCUUGAGGUGAGGAAUACCACCGAGAAAUCGGUGACAAGACCGCAUGUCUUCGGCACCGAAGAAAGUCUCGCAAGAGACGCCACAAGAUGAGCCUGCGCCUGAUUAGCUGGUUGGUGAGGUAACAGCUCACCAAGGCAACGAUCAGUAGCUGGUCUGAGAGGAUGAUCAGCCACACUGGGAUUGAGAACGGCCCAGACUCCUACGGGGGCAGCAGUGAGGAAUUUUCGUCAAUGGGGGC
rnacentral:rRNA from 1 species